AUCACAGGCCUUUUUUCUUCUUCAACCAGUUCAGCAGCCCCAGCGUGAGCUUCUCUGACUGUCUCGUGGCGACGGCUGCCGACUACGCCAGGUGCCCUGCCCAGGUUUUCUUCGGCGAGGCGACUUCGCCGGCGACGAGGAUGCCUCGGUCAAACACUAUCAGAUUUCGGAUGCCUCCCAUCGAGGGUCUAACUCAAGACCAGGAUCAGGAUGAGGAUCCACGUGCAACUUAUCGGUGGUGUCACAGAGCUGUUAAACUUGGCUAUUUUUCUUCUGUUAUAACAGGAAUCUAUUCUCAACGAUACAGGGCAGCAACCCAUAAAACGAGUCUUGGAGCUGAUAUCGCACUAAUAGUAGCGUUUGUUUUGGGUGCUUGGACAUUACAAGCCAGCAUAGGACUUGGGUGUUAUGGCUCAAUCUUUGAACCGGAAUUUCCAAGGAGAUAGAUAAGAUACACUCUGCAUGGAGUACCAGUGGUAUUCCCGCAGCGGUAAUCCUGUGUUAGCAGAAGGUUAAAUCCCUUCUUUGUGAAUUUAUAAUCCAUGGAGGGAGUUGCACGAUGUUUA